AGUGAACGCUGGCGGUAGGCCUAACACAUGCAAGUCGAACGGCAGCACAGUAAGAGCUUGCUCUUACGGGUGGCGAGUGGCGGACGGGUGAGGAAUACAUCGGAAUCUACUUUUUCGUGGGGGAUAACGUAGGGAAACUUACGCUAAUACCGCAUACGACCUACGGGCGAAAGCAGGGGAUCUUCGGACCUUGCGCGAUUGAAUGAGCCGAUGUCGGAUUAGCUAGUUGGCGGGGUAAAGGCCCACCAAGGCGACGAUCCGUAGCUGGUCUGAGAGGAUGAUCAGCCACACUGGAACUGAGACACGGUCCAGACUCCUACGGGAGGCAGCAGUGGGGAAUAUUGGACAAUGGGCGAAAGCCUGAUCCAGCCAUACCGCGUGGGUGAAGAAGGCCUUCGGGUUGUAAAGCCCUUUUGUUGGGAAAGAAAAGCAGCAGGUUAAUACCCCGCCGUUCUGACGGUACCCAAAGAAUAAGCACCGGCUAACUUCGUG
rnacentral:rRNA from 1 species